AUGCAUGAGAGCAUCAGCUGUUCCGGACGACUGUGUGAUCACGCUCUCCGUAGCCGACGUAAGACCUUUAAACAGGUCAAAAUACACAAGGCUGCGGGGCCAGACGGAUUACCAGGACGUGUGCUCCGGGCAUGUGCUGACCAACUGGCAGGUGUCUUCACUGACAUUUUCAACAUGUCCCUGAUUGAGUCUGUAAUACCAACAUGUUUCAAGCAGGCCACCAUAGUCCCUGUGGCCAAGAACACAAAGGCAACCUGCCUAAAUGACUACAGACCCGUAGCACUCACGUCCGUAGCCAUGAAGUGCUUUGAAAGGUUUGUAAUGGCUCAUAUCAACACCAUUAUCCCAGCAACCCUAGACCCACUUCAAUUUGCAUACCGCCCAAACAGAUCCACAGAUGAUGCAAUCUCGAUUGCACUCCACACUGCCCUUUCCCACCUGGACAAAAGGAACACUUAUGUGAGAAUGUUAUUCAUUGACUACAGCUCAGCGUUCAACACCAUAGUACCCUCAAAGCUCAUCACUAAGCUAAGGAUCCUGGUACUAAACACCUCCCUCUGCAACUGGAUCCUGGACUUCCUGACGGGCCACCCCCAGGUGGUGAGGGUAGGUAGCAACACAUCUGCCACGCUGAUCCUCAACACUGGAGCUCCACAGGGUUGCGUGCUCAGUCCCCUCCUGUGCUCCCUGUUCACCCACGACUGCAUGGCCAGGCAUGACUCCAACACCAUCAUUAAGUUUGCAGACGACACAACAGUGGUAGGCCUGAUCACAGACAACGACGAGACAGCCUUUAGGGAGGUCAGAGACCUGGCCGUGUGGUGCCAGAAUAACAACCUAUCCCUCAACGUAACCAAGACUAAGGAGAUGAUUGUGGACUACAGGAAAAGGAGGACUGAGCACGCCCUCAUUCUCAUCAACGGGGCUGUAGUGGAGCAGGUUGAGAGCUUCAAGUUCCUUGGUGUCCACAUCACCAACGAACUAGAAUGGUCCAAACACACCAAGACAGUCGUGAAGAGGGCACGACAAAGCCUAUUCCCCCUCAGGAAACUAAAAAGAUUUGGCAUGGGUCCUGAGAUCCUCAAAAGGUUCUACAGCUGCAACAUCACUGUCUGGUACGGCAAUUGCUCAGCCUCUGACCGCAAGGCACUACAGAGGGUAGUGCGUACGGCCCAGUACAUCACUGGGGCUAAGCUGCCUGCCAUCCAGGACCUCUACACCAGGCAGUGUUAG
rnacentral:lncRNA from 8 species